GAUGAACGCUGGCGGCGUGCCUAAUACAUGCAAGUAGAACGCUGAAGGAGGAGCUUGCUCUUCUGGAUGAGUUGCGAACGGGUGAGUAACGCGUAGGUAACCUGCCUGGUAGCGGGGGAUAACUAUUGGAAACGAUAGCUAAUACCGCAUGACAACAGUUAUUGCAUGAUAACUGUUUAAAAGGGGCAACUGCUCCACUACCAGAUGGACCUGCGUUGUAUUAGCUAGUUGGUGAGGUAACGGCUCACCAAGGCGACGAUACAUAGCCGACCUGAGAGGGGGGGCGGCCGCACUGGGAGUGAGACACGGCACAGAGGCCUACGGGAGGGAGCAGGAGGGAAUCGGCGGCAAUGGGCGGGAGACUGAGCGAGCAAGGCCGCGUGAGUGAAGAAGGAUUUCGGGUCGUAAAGCUCUGUUGUAAGAGAAGAACGAGUGUGAGAGUGGAAAGUUCACUCUGUGACGGUAUCUUACCAGAAAGGGACGGCUAACUACGUG
rnacentral:rRNA from 1 species